UGUUUUAUUUUGAUAGUCGAUGAGUUUGACGUUUCUCUCUCUUCUUCGUUAACACGCGAAUAAUCUGCCAGCAAGUGAUUUGCUGCCGGGUUUUCAUUUAGUUUAAAAACUAUUGUUAAGUAAAAGUCCUAUCGCCCCAGCAUUGGUGCUGCUUAGAGGUCACCGCGAAACAACAACGACUAGGACACCACCAUGCCUCCCAAGAAGCAAGAAGAACCCGAACGUAAACCAUUGAUUGGUCGCAUUGGCACCAAUCUUCGUAUUGGUAUUGUUGGUGUUCCCAAUGUUGGUAAAUCAACUUUCUUCAAUGUUCUGACCAAGAGUGCUGCUCCAGCGGAAAAUUUCCCUUUCUGUACCAUCGAUCCCAAUGAGAGUAGAGUCCCUGUACCCGAUGA
rnacentral:sRNA from 1 species